rnacentral:rRNA from 1 species
UACGUAGGGUGCGAGCGUUAAUCGGAAUUACUGGGCGUAAAGCGUGCGUAGGCGGUUUUGUAAGCCAGGUGUGAAAUCCCCGGGCUUAACCUGGGAACUGCGCUUGUGACUGCAAGACUCGAGUACGGCAGAGGGGGGUAGAAUUCCACGUGUAGCAGUGAAAUGCGUAGAGAUGUGGAGGAAUACCGAUGGCGAAGGCAGCCCCCUGGGUCGAUACUGACGCUCAUGCACGAAAGCGUGGGGAGCAAACAGG